rnacentral:rRNA from 1 species
CGACAGCAAUAUGAAGGUCAGGCUGAAGACCUUACCGAUUAGCUGAGAGGUGGUGCAUGGCCGUCGUCAGUUCGUACUGUGAAGCAUCCUGUUAAGUCAGGCAACGAGCGAGACCCACGUCCACAGUUGCCAGCAUACCCUCCGGGGUGAUGGGUACACUGUGGAGACCGCCGCUGCUAAAGCGGAGGAAGGAGUGGGCAACGGUAGGUCAGUAUGCCCCGAAUCUCCCGGGCUACACGCGGGCUACAAUGGUUGGUACAAUGGGCAUCUACCCCGAAAGGGGAAGGAAAUCUCUUAAAGCCAAUCGUAGUUCGGAUUGAGGGCUGCAACUCGCCCUCAUGAAGCUGGAAUCCGUAGUAAUCGCGCUUCAACAGAACGCGGUGAAUACGUCCCUGCUCCUU